UGAUGAGUUCGUAACAUAUAAAAUAUAUUGUGCUAUAUACAAAUAUUUUUUGAAUGAAAAUCUUUUUAAUCUUUUUGACCAAAGAACCACUUAAUGAGAGAGAGGAGGGUUGUGCCUUCUUACCACGAAUGUCCUCCCAUCCAAGUACUAACCAGGCCUGACCCUGCUUAGCUUCCAAGAUCAGACAAGAUCAGGCACAGUCAGGGUGGUAUGGCCGUAGAGGAAUG
rnacentral:lncRNA from 10 species